GUUCAAGGGCGCUAUUUAUGAAUUGAAAAAAUGCGCUAAUAAUUCAUUUCUACCAAAGUAUAUUUCUAACUCUUCCUUUUAAGGUAAUAUUUUGUCGCUUUUUUCAUCUUUAAUCGUAAAUUAUUUUCUAAAUCUUGUGAAAUUAGAUUCAGUGUCAAGGAUGGUACAAAUUGUGACUUGAAAUGUGUUCAAUAUGAAUGGAUUUAUUGAAGGUGUUGAUUUGUUUUUACUUUUGCUGGUCUCUUGCUGUUGAUGUGUUUUUAACACCAGUUUCGCCUUGUUAAGUUCAUCAUUAUUAUUGUGAUUAUUAUUGGUCAUGGUGGUGCUAAAAAUAGUCAUUUAUGUGUUCAAUGACAUUUGUUGAAAGGGUCAAGAUGAAGAAAGAAGGAAGAAGAAGAAGAAGACUCAAAAAUGGGUGAAAAGAGUAAGAAAAGAAGCUGAACAAAGACUUCUCAUUAUGAGUAUGAUUAUGAUGAGAAAGGGUCAAACGCUAUUCUUUUGGUUACCUUUUUUUCCUAUUCUACUGGUUUCUACCUAUGGUCAUCUCAUUAUCACUGGUUGACCCAGUGACUGGUUAACAGUAUUUAACCGGACAGAAGGACAGUAAAGGGUCCAAAAAGGAGUAUUAACAAAAAUCGGUUCAUGAUGCAAAUCAAUGAAUAAUCAGCCUUUUAUAGUAGGUAAAAGUGUAAUGUAUUAUUGACUUUUAAAGGAUUUUGUUUUCAGUUUCUUUCACCUCAAUACUGGACACACAAUUAACGAGAAAUUUAUAGUCAAGGAAAAAACACAUUUUACCCUUUUCCACUCUCUGGGCCAACAAAAUGUGUGUCUGUAAAAAUGUAAAUAACAAAGGCCCAAAAUGGAAGCAAAAAAUGUGUCCAAGAAAAAAGGCAAAUCUUUAAACACUUUUGGACAAUUUGGACCGUUUUCAAAGCAAAUUGAGUGUAAUUUUACUUUCAACAUUUACAUAUAAAUCAAAGAUCUGAUUAUCAUGAUAAUGGCCUGUAAUUACAACCAGUUAAUAUUAUAAUUUCGAGUUUCCAGUUGAUCACAAGUAUUUAAACAAGUUAACCUUUAACUCUGACCUUGGACUUGAAGAUGCAUCGAUAAUGAAGAGUGACAUUGUGUAAGUGAAGAUGAGGAAGAAGACGAGGAAGAUGGAAAAAAGAAGGAGAAGAAGAUAGAAAGAGAAAUCGUCCUUGACCGUAACCAUGAUCAGUCCCUAGAGGCCAUUUAAGGUCAAUGUCCGACUUUCCCUUGUUUUUACCCUAAGACCUACAUGAAGUCAGAGUCAAAUGAAACUUGAAUGAUACAGAAAGAGAAAAGAAGAAGCAGAAGAAGAAGAAAUUUCAAUCCAAUAUCUUUGCAUCUUUUCCCUCAUCUUCAUCAUUCUUCUCAUAUUGUAAAUCUUCUUCUCUCUCUUCCCAACACAUUCCAGUUUGAACACAUUCUGACCACUUCUGUUGGCCAAGUAUUUAAAAAGUCAACCAACUUUGACAUAAAAACAAAGUUUAGUGGCAAUAAUUUUGUUUCACUUGAAAUUAUUUCUUCUUCUGUCCAAGGUUUGACCUUUUCCCUUGACGGAAACUCAACUAAUAACGUUCAAAUAAAUUAAACAGUAAACCUUUUUAUGGGAAAAGGCCAAUAGUAACAAAA